CCUACGGGUGGCUGCAGUGGGGAAUAUUGGACAAUGGGGGCAACCCUGAUCCAGCCAUGCCGCGUGUGUGAAGAAGGCCCUCGGGUUGUAAAGCACUUUCAGUGAGGAAGAACGCCUGGUGGUUAAUACCCAUCAGGAAAGACAUCACUCACAGAAGAAGCACCGGCUAACUCCGUGCCAGCAGCCGCGGUAAUACGGAGGGUGCGAGCGUUAAUCGGAAUUACUGGGCGUAAAGCGCGCGUAGGUGGCUUGAUAAGCCGGUUGUGAAAGCCCCGGACUCAACCUGGGAACGGCAUCCGGAACUGUCAAGCUAGAGUGCAGGAGAGGAAGGUAGAAUUCCCGGUGUAGCGGUGAAAUGCGUAGAGAUCGGGAGGAAUACCAGUGGCGAAGGCGGCCUUCUGGACUGACACUGACACUGAGGUGCGAAAGCGUGGGUAGCAAACAGGAUUAGAUACCCUAGUAGUC
rnacentral:rRNA from 1 species